AAUGAACGCUGGCGGCGCGCCUAAUACAUGCAAGUCGAGCGAGAAGACGUAGCAAUACGUUUGUAAAGCGGCGAACGGGUGAGGAAUACAUGGGGUAACCUACCCUCGAGUGGGGAAGUAACUAGCCGAAAGGUUAGCUAAUACCGCGUACGCUUCUUGGACUUCGGUUCAGGGAGGAAAGCGAUGCCGAGGGUAUCGCGCUCUUGGAUGGGCUCAUGUCCUAUCAGCUUGUUGGNGAGGUAACGGCUCACCAAGGCUUCGACGGGUAGCUGGUCUGAGAGGACGAUCAGCCACACUGGCACUGCGACACGGGCCAGACUCCUACGGGAGGCAGCAGUAAGGAAUAUUGCGCAAUGGGCGAAAGCCUGACGCAGCGACGCCGC
rnacentral:rRNA from 1 species